rnacentral:lncRNA from 1 species
CUCUGUGCAAAGGCAGAGGCUGUGGGAGCAGCAUCAAGCAAGACUUCGGGCAGUGAUUCUAACUAUUGCCUAUGAACACCGUGGCUGGGACGACUUUGACGAGGCAAUUUAUUACUUACGCAUAGAACACUGGCUGUGCUGAAACUGGGAGCGCAAACAGCCCCUUGUUUUCUAAUUUAGAGACUUGCAUCUUUUCGACACUCAACAGUAUCAAGACACUCUGCUACUACAGAUUGAUUUCCACCAUCAACACCUUUACCUCUUCCCGCCUGAAAAUAAAAUAUGAAAUAUAACAAGUAAAUCGCAAUCUACCUUGAAUCUUCUGGAGAGGAAAGAAGAAACCAUGUCUAGACAAGGUGCUGGAAAGACCCAGGGAAGACACAGGCUUUGGUAUCAGGAUGAAGCCAGCCUCAUAAAAUCAGUUAGGGAGGAUUCCCUCCUUUUCCAUUGAUUGGAACAGUUUCAGAAGGAAUGGUACCAGCUCCUCUUUGUACCUCUGGUAGAAUUCGGCUGUGAAUCUGUCUGGUCCUGGCCUUUUUUUGGUUGACGGAGUCUCACUCUGUCACCCAGGCUGGAGUGCAAUGGCACGGUCUCGGCUCCCUGCAACCUUCACCUCCCAGUUUCACUCUUGUUGCCCAGACUGGAGUGCAAUGGCGCGAUCUCGGCUCACUACAACCUCUGCCCCCCGGGUUCAAGCGAUUUUCUUCCCUCAGCCUCCCGAGUAGCUGGGAUUACAAGUGCCCACCACCACACCCAGCUAAUUUUUUGUAUUUUUAGUAGAGACAGGGUUUCACC